rnacentral:rRNA from 1 species
GGCUCAGAUUGAACGCUGGCGGAAUGCUUUACACAUGCAAGUCGAACGGCAGCACGGACGUUCGGUCUGGUGGCGAGUGGCGAACGGGUGAGUAAUAUAUCGGAACGUGCCCAGUCGUGGGGGAUAACGUAGUGAAAAUUACGCUAAUACCGCAUACGAUCUAAGGAUGAAAGCGGGGGAUCGCAAGACCUCGCGCGAUUGGAGCGGCCGAUAUCAGAUUAGGUAGUUGGUGAGGUAAAGGCUCACCAAGCCAACGAUCUGUAGCUGGUCUGAGAGGACGACCAGCCACACUGGAACUGAGACACGGUCCAGACUCCUACGGGAGGCAGCAGUGGGGAAUUUUGGACAAUGGACGCAAGUCUGAUCCAGCCAUUCCGCGUGCAGGACGAAGGCCUUCGGGUUGUAAACUGCUUUUGUACAGAACGAAAAGGUCUCUAUUAAUACUAGGGGCUCAUGACGGUACUGUAAGAAUAAGCACCGGCUAACUACGUG